GUAUAUAAAUCUUAAAAAUCAUAAAAAGAUGAAUAGAUCCCCAACCCUCGUAGUCUCCUGAACUUGGAGGAUGUGCACCAGAUGUUGGGAUGACUGUUGGACAUAUAGUAUAAUACUAGGAGCCUGAUCUUUGUGUAUUUUUUUCUGUCAGGCAUGUUGGACAUGUAGGCUGGGAUCCUAACACAGGAUUUGAUGUUAAUAAUCUAGACCCAGAACUGAAGAACCUGUUUGACAUGUGCGGUAUUUCUGAAGUCCAACUAAAGGACAAGGAAACGUCAAAAGCUAUAUAUGAUUUUAUUGAGAAAAAAGGAGGAUUGGAGGCUGUAAAGAACGAGUUUCGUAGACAAGGCAUGUUGGACAUGAAGGCUGGGAUCCUAACACAGGAUUUGAUGUUAAUAAUCUAGACCCAGAACUGAAGAACCUGUUUGACAUGUGUGGUAUUUCUGAAGUCCAUCUAAAGGACAAGGAAACGUCAAAAGCUAUAUAUGAUUUUAUUCAGAAAAAAGGAGGAGUGGAGGCUGUAAAGAACGAGUUUCGUAGACAAGGCAUGUUGGACAUGAAGGCUGGGAUCCUAACACAGGAUUUGAU